rnacentral:rRNA from 1 species
UACGUAGGCAGCGAGCGUUGUUCGGAGUUACUGGGCGUAAAGCGUGCGUAGGCGGCUGCUCAAGUCUGGUGUGAAAUCUCCCGGCUUAACCGGGAGGGUGCGCUAGAAACUGGGUUGCUGGAGUACCGGAGAGGCAGGCGGAAUUCCUGGUGUAGCGGUGAAAUGCGUAGAUAUCGGGAGGAACACCAGUGGCGAAGGCGACUACCUGGCCUGUUCUUGACGCUGAGGCGCGAAAGCUAGGGGAGCAAACGGG